CAGGGGAUUUCAUACUUUUAGGGGCCUAUUUACUAACAAUUGAAUUUCUAUUUUUUCCACAAAUCUCUAAAAAAAAAUUGUGGUUUCUUUAUAUUUCUGUAAAACUCAAAAAAUUCAAGAUUUUUUUAAGUGUAAAAACCACAGAAAACAGUAAUACAAAAAUUUGCCAUGUAAAAGUAGUCAAGGUCCUACAGAAAUUAAGUAUAACAGAUGCUAUACCUGUAUAGGGAUUCUUGAUCUAUGGGUCAGGACCCAAAAAACAAGUCCCUAUGAUCAAAUAAUGACAAAGGAAACCUUUUACAACACUGAAGAAGCAAUGCUGUGCAUUAUAAUUUCAGCUUAUAGUUCUAAAUUGUGUGACAAUAUCUUUUCAUAACUCAAUAUUGCUGAGAAAUCUCUUUGUUUCUCUUUUGUAGGAGAAGCUUCUCUUAACUGUGGAUCCCAACUUCCUCUGGAUCCCAAGGGCUGACGCAAUGAACUACGAUUUACACCAGUGUUGGACUGGGCCACUAGGAUAUCAGAAAAACACCCAGGUGUUAGUGGGGCUCUUGCUUCUUACCAUUUGGCCAAUUUCAUGGUUAUUCCCUAUUUCUUUAUGGGGAAAAAGAGGCUUAAUAUUGGAAGAAUAGAAUAUAGUAAGUAGUUAUAAAAGACUAGGAGAAUAAAGAGGUUGAGUGAGGAGAGGAGGAAUAAUAGUUUGAAAAGUGGCCACAGUCUAAGGUUUUCUGGUGGGCCCCUGGAAUCCGAAACUGAUUUACUCAGACAGGAUCAAAUGAUAAACAGUUUUAAAAACGCUAAAUGCUUCACAACCAAGGUGAGUCCCUUAUACGCGUAGAACCAACACAGCAGGUUCGUGAUUUUGUACAUGAAAUAUUAUUGUCCUAUGUCAGUUUCUAACCACUAAGUCUGUGUCUUUCUGCUAGGCUGAGUUGUGUACCCUUAUGGACAGCAUGCGUUGGUUUUCAGAUGUCGAUCCUUACUCGUUUGUCCCAGACUGAGGCAGAAUGAUGAAUGUCAGAAAUUUAUUGAAGCACUGUAAGAACUCCCCAAAACAUCAUCCUGACCUUCCUGAAGAGAACACGUGGCAUGAUUAUCAGUUCAAAGAGUAUCUGCAGAUGACAGGAGCAUCUGAUGCAUGGGAUGAUAUAAUCUUGCCAGGGAUGAAGGAAAUCAUCAUCCAUACCAUGAAGAGUGCCCAGAAUAAAGUUGAGCACAGGAAAAAUACAUUUCAUUUAUAUGGUACAGAUUUUAUAUUUGGCGAGAAUUUCCAGCCAUGGCUGAUAGAAAUCAAUGCCAGUCCUGCACUGUCAAGCUCCACAUCUUUCAGGAGCAAGUUGACAACCCAGGCUCAAGAAGACAUCCUACAUGUUGUACUUGACUGUAAAGAAGAUAGCAAAUGUGAUGAAGGUGACUUUGAACUCCUAUAUAAACAGGUAUGCUAUGCUACACUAUGCUACUAGGUGCCAUUCUCUCUUACACACUCUUGAUGCAGUGUGUUCUCAUAUUGAUAUUGAAGAUGAAAGGAAUAUCUGGAUUAUAAAACCAGGAGCUAAAUCCCAAGGAAGAGGUAACUGACCUUGCUUAAUGUGUAUUUGUAUAUUUAGAGAAUGUUACAGUCUGUGUUCCAUUAAGUCACAGAUGAAGUUGUUCUGACUAUAAAAUUUUUACAGGUAUAAUAUGCAAGAACAAUCUGGAAGACAUCAUGUCACUCCUGGACAAAGAUGCGGUGAUUCCCAAUGAGGAUUUCUGUGUGGUACAGAAAAACAUCACAGCCUUUCUCAGUGAAGAAUCUAAGCAGUUUUUGCAGAUCCAUACACCUGUGUAACAAUGCCGUACAGAAGCACUGUAAGAACUCCCUGAAACAUCAUCUUGACCUUCCUGAAGAGAACAUGUGGCAUGGUUAUCAGACAAAGAGUAUCUGCAGAUGACAGGAGCAUCCGAUGCAUUGGAUCGGGCCUUGGGUCACUGGCAGGGUGCUGGACUGGAUCAGCAGAGCCCACUGUUUUUUUUUCCGGUGUCCCGCUGGUCCAGUCUGACCCCACAGAUUACUUUUUAAGGAUAGAGAAACAAGGAUUGAAUGGUCCUUGUUCUCUUGAACCUUUUUUUCAACCUUCUGUAUGUUUAUUUUUUAAGAACAAUUAUGGUUUUAUAAAGCAUUAAAUAAAUAUAUGCUUCUCAUCACAGCCUUUCUAAGUGAAGAAUCUAUGCAUGUGGCAUGAUCAUCAGUUCAAAGAGUAUCUGCAGAUGACAGGAGCAUCUGAUGCAUGGGAUGAUAUAAUCUUGCCAGGGAUGAAGGAAAUCAUCAUCCAUACCAGGAAGAGUGCCCAGGAAAAAUAAAUUUCAUUUAUAUGGUGCAGAUUUUAUGUUUGGCGAGAAUUUCCAGCCAUGGCUGAUAAAAAUCAAUGCAAGGCCUGCACUGUCAAACUCCACAUCUGUCAGUAGCAAGUUGAGCAAGAACACAUCCUACAUGUUGUGUUGUCUUUGACCGUAAAGAAGAUAGCAAAUGUGAUGUUGGUGACUUUGAACUCCUAUAUAAACAAGUAUAUUUAUACCCGUCAAUAUUUGUCUAUUUAUUGAAUAAUCAUUAUGUUGUGCAGAGUACCAGGGUCGAAUUGAGGGUGUGGGGCACACCGGGGCUUCCGUCUCACGGGUCCACCGCACAUCUAGCUCCGCUUCCUAGCCACAUCCCCCCUGCUCUGCUGCCCCUUCCCCCCACGGCAGGAUUGGGGCCUUGGGUCACU